UACGUAGGGUGCGAGCGUUUGUCCGGAAUUAUUGGGCGUAAAGAGCGUGUAGGCUGUUCGGUAAGUCUGCCGUGAAAACCUGAGGCUCAACCUCGGGCGUGCGGUGGAUACUGCAGGGCUUGAGUACAGAUGAGGUAGGCGGAAUUGACGGUGUAGCGGUGAAAUGCAUAGAUAUCGUCAAGAACACCGAUAGCGAAGGCAGCUUACCAAGCUGUAACUGACACUGAGGCACGAAAGUGUGGGGAUCAAACAGG
rnacentral:rRNA from 1 species